CUAAAAACCUAGCCCAACAAACAUGAAUUUUACUAAAUUAACUAAACCCCUCUUAACAAACCAUUUUAACAUUCUAGUAAAGGAGAUUGAAAAACUUAUUUGGAGCUAUAAAAACAGUACCGCAAGGGAACGGUGAAAUAUUAUGAAAAACUUCAAGCAGCAAAAAGUAAAGAUUACCUCUUGUACCUUUCGCAUCAUGGUUUAACUAGUCUAACCAAGCAAAACGUAUUUAAGUUUGACUUCCCGAAACUAAGUGAGCUACUUCAGGGCAGCUAGAAGAGCAAACCCGUCUCUGUAGCAAAAGAGUGGGACGACCCUCAAGUAGUGGUGACAGACCUAACGAACUUAGUGAUAGCUGGUUGCUCAAGAAACGGAUUUAAGUCCAACCUGAAAGUUUUAUAACCUGAGUCCAUCAAAACAAUCACCUAGCUUUCAGCGUAAUUCAAAUAAGGUACAGCCUAUUUGAAACAGGAUACAACCUAGCCUAGUGGAUAAGAUCAGCCUAACAUACAAUCAAGUGGGCCUAAAAGCAGCCACCUUUAAUAUAGCGUCAAAGCUAAAUUGUAACCGAGCCCAAUUACUUAACCCAUAUCUUAAUCCCCUGCCAAUACUGAGUAAUUCUAUAAUAUUAUAGAAAUUUUUAUGUUAAAACUAGUAACAAGAAGAAGAUUCUUCUCUUAAAUGUACGUAUAAAUCAGAAAAGACAAGCUACUGAUACUUAACACCUCUGAGCAUAAAGUAGUAACUAACCAAGAAAACUCUACUUUUACUGGUGUUAAUCUAACACAAGAACAUUCUAAGAAAGA
rnacentral:rRNA from 1 species